UAAUAAAGUUUGGAUAUAUAUAGUUUUAUGACUCCUAAUAUUGUGGGAUUCUUUAUAGAAUUCAACUGGACUUAUCUUGUAUGACAACUUAUUUGGACUCUUAUUAUAUCCUUGAUUUACCAAAUCUGUUGGACUCUUUAAUUGCUAAUAUCAUGGGAUAUACCAACUUUGAUAUGCGUUUCCUAUUCUAUCUCUUGUUCAUAACCGUUGGUCAAUAUUGUAGCUAAUAUUAUGGGAUUUAAAUCAUCUGAUUUCUUGCUAUGGGAUUUAAAUCAUUUGAU
rnacentral:lncRNA from 1 species